rnacentral:rRNA from 1 species
UACGUAGGGUGCAAGCGUUGUCCGGAAUUAUUGGGCGUAAAGAGCUCGUAGGCGGUUUGUCGCGUCGGCUGUGAAAACUCGGGGCUCAACCCCGAGCCUGCAGUCGAUACGGGCAGACUAGAGUGCUGUAGGGGAGACUGGAAUUCCUGGUGUAGCGGUGAAAUGCGCAGAUAUCAGGAGGAACACCGGUGGCGAAGGCGGGUCUCUGGGCAGUAACUGACGCUGAUGCGCGAAAGCGUGGGUAGCAAACAGG